CACGAAGUUAGCCGGUGCUUAUUCUUUGGGUACCGUCAUCCCAACCAGGUAUUAGCCGGCUGGAUUUCUUUCCCAACAAAAAGGGCUUUACAACCCGAAGGCCUUCUUCACCCACGCGGUAUGGCUGGAUCAGGCUUGCGCCCAUUGUCCAAUAUUCCCCACUGCUGCCUCCCGUAGGAGUCUGGACCGUGUCUCAGUUCCAGUGUGGCUGAUCAUCCUCUCAGACCAGCUACGGAUCGUCGCCUUGGUGGGCCUUUACCCCGCCAACUAGCUAAUCCGACAUCGGCUCAUUCAAUCGCGCAAGGUCCGAAGAUCCCCUGCUUUCACCCGUAGGUCGUAUGCGGUAUUAGCGUAAGUUUCCCUACGUUAUCCCCCACGACCAGAGUAGAUUCCGAUGUAUUCCUCACCCGUCCGCCACUCGCCACCCAGAGAGCAAGCUCUCCUGUGCUGCCGUUCGACUUGCAUGUGUUAGGCCUACCGCCAGCGUUCACUCUGACGCCAGGAUCAAACU
rnacentral:rRNA from 1 species